AAGAUGGCGACCGGCGCACGGGUGAGUAACACGUAUCCAACCUGCCGAUAACUCUGGAAUAGCCUUUCGAAAGAAAGAUUAAUACCGGAUAGUAUACGAAUAUCGCAUGAUAGUUUUUAUUUAAAGAAUUUCGGUUAUCGAUGGGGAUGCGUUCCAUUAGUUUGUUGGCGGGGUAACGGCCCACCAAGACUACGAUGGAUAGGGGUUCUGAGAGGAAGGUCCCCCACAUUGGAACUGAGACACGGUCCAAACUCCUACGGGAGGCAGCAUG
rnacentral:rRNA from 1 species